UACGAAGGGGGCUAGCGUUGCUCGGAAUGACUGGGCGUAAAGGGCGCGUAGGCGGUUUGUACAGUCAGAUGUGAAAUUCCUGGGCUCAACCUGGGGGCUGCAUUUGAUACGUGCGGACUGGAGUGGGGAAGAGGGUCGUGGAAUUCCCAGUGUAGAGGUGAAAUUCGUAGAUAUUGGGAAGAACACCGGUGGCGAAGGCGGCGACCUGGUCCUUGACUGACGCUGAGGCGCGAAAGCGUGGGGAGCAAACAGG
rnacentral:rRNA from 1 species